UGUUGGGGCACGCGUUCUACACGCCAGGCAUACCGCAUCAACCUACAGGCCCCGUGCGGAUGGGCGCGCCACUGCCCUGUCCCUGCUUACGGUUCCUGACAUCGGCUGAGCACCCAGUGCCCCUGCCGGCGGCAGAGGCUGCAUACCGCCCCCACCAGUGACUCCCCAAGCUUUCAGCGCUGUAAUCACAUGGUACAAUGUGUUGGGGCACGCGUUCUACACGCCAGGCAUACCGCAUCAACCGACAAGCCCCGUGCGGAUGAGCGCGCCGCGGCCCGGUCCCUGCUUACGGCUGCCAGCAGCAGAGGCUGCAUACGGCCCCCACCAGCGACUCCCCAAGCUUCCAGCGCUGUAAUCACAUGGUACCAUGUGUUUGCGCGCGCGUUCUACACGCCAGGCAUACCGCAUCAACCUACAGGCCCCGUGCGGAUGGGCGCGCCACUGCCCUGUCCCUGUUUACGGUUCCUGACAUCGCCUGAGCACCCAGUGCCCCUGCCGGCGGCAGAGGCUGCAUACCGCCCCCACCAGCGACUCCGAAGCUUCCAGUGCUGUAAUCACAUGGUACAAUGUGUUGGGGCACGCGUUCUACACGCCAGGCAUACCGCAUCAACCUACAGGCCCCGUGCGGAUGGGCGCGCCACUGCCCUGUCCCUGCUUACGGUUCCUGACAUUGCCUGAGCACCCAGUGCCCCUGCCGGCGGCAGAGGCUGCAUUCCGCCCCCACCAGUGACUCCCCAAGCUUUCAGCGCUGUAAUCACAUGGUACAAUGUGUUGGGGCACGCGUUCUACACGCCAGGCAUACCGCAUCAACCGACAGGCCCCGUGCGGAUGGGCGCGCCGCGGCCCGGUCCCUGCUUACGGCUGCCAGCAGCAGAGGCUGCAUACGGCCCCCACCAGCGACUCCCCAAGCUUCCAGCGCUGUAAUCACAUGGUACCAUGUGUUUGCGCGCGCGUUCUACACGCCAGGCAUACCGCAUCAACCUACAGGCCCCGUGCGGAUGGGCGCGUCGCGGCCCGGUCCCUGCUUACGGCUCCUGACACCGCCUGCGCACCCAGUGCCCCUCCCAGCAGCAGAGGCUGCAUAACGCUCACACCAUGCGUGUUGCAGCCAGCAGCAAAGGCUAUUGCAGCCCCUUUCACUCCUUGAAGUUCCUACAACAAGCAGGUCCUGAAACUCUGAGCGGCCUAUGCGUCAUUCCAACAGGCCUCCAUAACAGUGCUCAACUGAACGGACUUUCUAUUUAUGUAAACCCAUGGCUUUCCCCUGAGCAUGCGCACUGCAAUUGCCCCUCCGUCUUGUCUCCUCCGCACAAUACCAGUCCUGCUGCAUUCAUACUUGUUGUCGUAUGGCCGCCAUUCUUC
rnacentral:lncRNA from 1 species